rnacentral:rRNA from 1 species
CGAACGGGUGAGUAAUGCGUGACCAACCUGCCCCAUGCUCCAGAAUAGCUCUUGGAAACGGGUGGUAAUGCUAGAUGCUCCAACUUGACGCAUGUCUUGUUGGGAAAGUGUUUAGUGGCAUGGGAUGGGGUCGCGUCCUAUCAGCUUGUAGGCGGGGUAAUGGCCCACCUAGGCUUCGACGGGUAGCCGGCCUGAGAGGGCGGACGGCCACAUUGGGACUGAGAUACGGCCCAGACUCCUACGGGAGGCAGCAGAA